UCUGUCUCCCUCUGUCUCAAAAAUAAAUAAAAACAUUAAAAAAUUUUUGUUUUAAAUAAAUAAAUAAAAAUAACAAUAAAUUCUAGUUCCUCGAAAGUAACUUCCAGUGAAGUUUAAAACAUUUCCACACACUCCAAAAGAUAAGACAGUUUAUCCUUUACCUUAUGUAGAACUUCAAACACCGGGUGUCCGGCUUAAGGCAGCUCCCAGUGAGUGUGGCUUCCUGCCCACCAGUCACCUCCUGAAAGUUCACGCGAGGACAGGAGGAGGAAGCCCCGAGGCCACCGUGGACUCAUCUCUGGCUACACCGCAGGCUCAGGUCUAAGUACCUCAAAUGUAUCACCUAAGUUAAUCUUCCCCACAAUCCCAGGAGGUUGUUAUCACCCCUGUUUCACAGAUGGGGAGGCCAAGGCUCAGAGUCAUGAGGUCAUUUGCCCAAGGUCGCUCGCUUGUGCGUGGAAGAGCCCACAUUGGACUGGAACGGUGAGUGCAGAAGCAGCCCUCUGACACGCGAGGCCAUUUGCCCCCGGGGGCUGCGGAGAACACAUACGUGAUCAGACCUGCGCGUCUGCCCCACCUUCCUUAUUCCCAGUUCUGAGACCACCGUUUCCCAGGCUCACAGACUCCGUCAUCCCCGGGCAGACCCCCCAAGUCUGGGCGCUCCCUCUCUGUUUCACGCUCAGACCCUUCUCUGACCUCCCGUCUGCCCCCUCGCCAUAUUAAUCUGCUAGAACACCGAUGGGACGAUCUCACAUCCUACUCAAAAACGUUCAUUCCUUUCCUACAGAGUGGAGUUCAGGCCCGGCACUCAGGAUUCUGCCACAGACCAGCUCCCCCCGUUGCCUCAGUAUCCCCUGGGCUCCCCAGCACUCCGGUUCCCCUCUCUUGACGGCAGGUUUCUUCUGGGAGCGGCUCGCCCUGGUACUCCCGCCUGCCACAUACAGGCGACCUUGGGUCUGUGACCUGAGGUGACUCCAUCAACUUCUCUGCGCCUCUGUGAUUUCACCUGUGAAAAGGAGGAAUUGCCCUCUGCUCCGCUUGCCUCCUGGGCCGUCCGGAUCCAGGGGGACCUCACAUGUCGAAGAAAUAGAACAGGAAUAGCAGAAGCCUGGCUGGACGCCUCAGCCCCUGUUCCUGCUUUCAAGGCGAAUGCAUUUUGUUUGCAUACGUGUGCAUGAAGGAGAAUGAAAUAGUACAAAGUAUCAAGCAAACUCAUAAUGGGCUACCUUGGGAGGGGGCAGGGGCGGGAGGAACCAGGUUUGAGGGUGGGGCAGUUCAUUUCCCUAGAAUACAUAUUCAUAUCUUUGCAGUUAUUUUAGUCUUUUUCAAAGAUAAUUGCACAGCAUUGAAUUGCACUGCCGGAUCCGUGAGGCAGACACAGUCCUUCAGGAGGAAGGAGAGGAGCUACAGUGGUCCGAAAGGAUUUUACGGACUGGGAAACUUGCCUGUGGCGACGAGGGGGACCGAUUUGGAUAGAUGGAAGGGAGCAAAGGCAUUCUCCCAGGGGACCAGCAUGAGCAAAGGUCCUGAGGCCAGACCGAAGAGGAAGGAGUGAAGGGGAGGGGAGGUCAGGGAGAAGAGAACCCAGAUUCAUACUGGAGAUCUGGGGAUUCGCGCACCCAGGGACACACUGGUUGCUAGGUCAGUGUGCACUUCCCGACUAUGCAAGGCCUGUAGCAAAUACCAGAAAUGUUAGCACUUGUUUCAUUUAAGCGACAAUGGAGAAAGAAAUUCUCAGGUUUAAAGAGGUGGGAGGGGGGGUAGCCAAAACCAUAAGCAAAAAGACCCAGGGAGAGUUAAACCACAGAAAAUGUAGAGAGAAGCCGUGCUCAGGGAUUUAAUAAAAUUUCCACAUCUUAAAAGUGCACUGGGCGGGGUCUGGGAAGUGAAAGACGGAGUCAUUUGUACCAUCCUUUUCUCGCCCAGGGGAGCCAACUAAGAGCCACCCCAAAUGUGGGCUUGGGGGAGCUGCACCUGUGCAGGGGGCAAAUCUGACCUCUCCCCGCCCAGACCCAGGAGUGUGGCAGGAGAUGCACUUGGAGCUCAAGACCACCAGCUUCCCACCCUCUCUGGACGCCGCUCCCUCCCAAACUGCCCGGGGACAGACGGAGCUGAAGCCUGCCGUUCUGGGCUAGAGCCCCGUCCAGGAGCCCCAGGACUGGCCAUGGGAUUGGGGGGCGAGUCCCUGACCCCUCCCAGCCCUGGGCCCUUAUCCCUGAAACGAAGGGACGGGGCCCCUGGCACCUUGCAGCGGUGGCCAGGAGGGUGAAGUGAGACCAGGGCUCAGUCGGGGCACCGCUCUCCGUCCAGGCCGUUUGCUCACAGCACGAAUGAGAAAGUUGGAUGCGGCAGUGGCCAUGAGAGCAGGCUCCGAGCGACAAAGAAUGCUUCCUCUGCGAGGCCCCUCGCAAGCAGCCUCUCUCCUGGGUCUCCCGGACUCCCAGCCCCACCAGGCUGCGUGUGAACCCCAGUGGGGGAGGCAAGAGCCAACCCACUUCCGAAGCUGUCCUGGGAGGCACCCCACGCAGGCUGUGGGAAAUGGUGCCCAUUUCCAGGGGGUCCACCCGACAGACUUACCCGCAAACUUGGGGACCCACGUGUGUGAGAUGGAGGCCUCGCGCCAACAAGGUUCCCACGGAGACCGGCCUCUUCUGGGAGCCGUCUGACGCUGCCUUUCCUCCCUGACGAGGCGACGACUCCACUCACUCUUCCCUUCAGCCCGACCGAAUCACGCAGGGAGUCUACCCGCCAGAACUUCUGGGAGGUCUUCCCCAGUCCUGCCACACGUCCCGAGCACCUCCGUCGGCCCCGGCACCUGUCACUCAUCAGCAUUGUUCGCCGAUAUGCCCAGGGUCUUCUUCAAUAGAGCUGGAGCUCGUUGGGGGCUGGGAUGGCGCAUUCUUUACUUUUGUAAAGAGCUCGGCACAUAGCACGUGCUGCGUAAGGUUCACGGUGUAAGUGGCCUCGUAAUCGUAAAUCGCGCAGAAGCAGAGACCCUGCUUAACUCAUUGGCUUGACUCUGACAGCAUCUUCCCCACCCCUCAUAUCUUAAAGUUGUGGGAACUGAGCUCCUACAAUGCACAGCGGAGUAUGCUUGAAAUAAGCAAAGCCUGCCUUGGCCACUAACGCUCUGUACAACUUGGGCAGGUCACUGGGUUUUUUGGAGUCUCUAUUUCCUCAUCUGAAAACGGACACUGAUUUUGUCUCCGUCAGAACAGUAGUCGUGUAAACACAGAGUCACGACUUGGCCCAGAAAUUCUGCUCCUAGGUAUACGCCCCAGAGAAAUGCGUCCACAAAAGAACUGGUACAUGAAUCGUCAUAGCAUCGUUAUUCAUCAUCGGCAAGAGGCGGAAACAACCCGAGCGCCCAUCGGUGGAUGAACCGAAAAACAAGAUAUAGCGUAUCCAGACACCAGAAUAUUGCUCAGCAGUGGAACAGAAUGGAGUACUGACAUGUGCUACAACGCGGAGGAACCCGGAAAACGUGAUGCUGAGUAAAAGAAACCAGCCACGAAAAAUCACGUAUUAUGUUUCCAUUUCUAUGACAUGUCCAGAAGAGGCAAGUCUAUAGAGACAGAAAGCAGGACUUGUUACUAAAGAGGAGAAGCAGAGUCUGUUUACCCGGCCCUGGAAUCUAGGCAGGCUCUCACACUGGCUUUGGACAUCGAACGCGGCAGAAGUGACAUUGGAUAACAGAACAUAUCACUCUGCUCCUGAAACCACGGGUCUUAUCCGUCGGCCCUUAGAAUCACCUGGAAAGGAGCUCUAAUGAUAUUGAUAGCCCACUUAAUCUGAACCUCGGGUAGGGGCCGGCAUAGGUAUUUUAAAAAAUCUCCCCCCAAGUGAUCCUAAUAUGUAGUUUGGGUGGGAAACCGCUCCUUUGGUUCGAAUUUAAACCCCUUUCUUUCAGAAAUGGGGGAAAUAGGUUAAGAGAAGGGAAGUGAGUUAGGGCCAGCAAAGGAAGGAGGCCCAGGACUCCAUGCCCUGAGCCGAAGCCCUUCUCCCCCAACCCUUACCCCGUAAGGGAACAAGGAAUGGGGCCAAGGGCUGCCUGGACCCGCAGAGCAGUAACUCCAAGGGAGCCAGCUGCUGAGAUCAAGGUCAGUGGGGUAAGCAAAGAGGAAGGAAGACAGCACUCCCCGAGUUAAAGAAGCAGGUUUUCUUUGUAAAUACAAAAGCCUGACACAGCACGUAUGAGUAACCUCCACCUUGAACACCUAAGUGACUUUGUUCUUGGCAUUUCUUUUGGCUCACGCACAGUGGGGACUUAUCACCUCUGUGAGAGAUAGUGAGCAGCCCUUUGUUAGGGUAUCCUUGGCUGUAGCCUGAGAUAAAAAAAAGAUUUAAAUGACUCCCUUUGCAUCUGGGACCCAAGCUCUGUCGCUGACCAGCAGUGUGACCUUGAACAAGCCACUUAACCCCUAUGGAUGGGUUCCCACGUCCUGGAUUUCUUGGGAGACAGAAAUGAUGCAUGAAAGUGCUUAUCCAGGAGCGCUUGGGUGGCUCAGUAGGUUAAGCAUGUGACUCUUGAUUUCGGCUCACGGUUCCUGAGAUCGAGCCCCAUGUCAG